ensembl:snRNA U1 U1 spliceosomal RNA
AUACUUACCUGGCUGGGGAGAUACCAUGAUCAUGAAGGUGGUUUUCCCAGGGCAAGGUUCAUCCAUUGCAGUUCGGAUGUGCUGACCCCUGUGAUUUCCCCAAAUGUGGGAAACUCGACUGCAUUAUUUGUCGUAGUAGGGGACUGCGUUCACGCUCUCCCCUA